UACGAAGGGGGCUAGCGUUGCUCGGAAUCACUGGGCGUAAAGGGCGCGUAGGCGGCCAUUCAAGUCGGGGGUGAAAGCCUGUGGCUCAACCACAGAAUUGCCUUCGAUACUGUUUGGCUUGAGUGUGGCAGAGGUUGGUGGAACUGCGAGUGUAGAGGUGAAAUUCGUAGAUAUUCGCAAGAACACCAGUGGCGAAGGCGGCCAACUGGGCCAUUACUGACGCUGAGGCGCGAAAGCGUGGGGAGCAAACGGG
rnacentral:rRNA from 1 species